rnacentral:misc_RNA from 1 species
GAUGAAGAACGCAGUGAAAUGCGAUAAGUAAUGUGAAUUGCAGAAUUCAGUGAAUCAUCGAAUCUUUGAACGCACAUUGCGCCCCCUGGUAUUCCGGGGGGCAUGCCUGUUCGAGCGUCAUUUCACCACUCAAGCCUCGCUUGGUAUUGGGCAACGCGGUCCGCCGCGUGCCUCAAAUCGACCGGCUGGGUCUUCUGUCCCCUAAGCGUUGUGGAAACUAUUCGCUAAAGGGUGUUCGGGAGGCUACGCCGUAAAACAACCCCAUUUCUAAGGUUGACCUCGGAUCAGGUAGGGAUACCCGCUGAACUUAAGCAUAUCAUAAGCGAGGA